rnacentral:rRNA from 1 species
AGCAGCAGCCGCGGUAAUACAGAGGGUGCAAGCGUUAAUCGGAAUUACUGGGCGUAAAGCGCGCGUAGGUGGUUUGUUAAGUUGGAUGUGAAAGCCCCGGGCUCAACCUGGGAACUGCAUCCAAAACUGGCAAGCUAGAGUACGGUAGAGGGUGGUGGAAUUUCCUGUGUAGCGGUGAAAUGCGUAGAUAUAGGAAGGAACACCAGUGGCGAAGGCGACCACCUGGACUGAUACUGACACUGAGGUGCGAAAGCGUGGGGAGCAAACAGGAUUAGAUACCCCUGUAGUCCCUGUCUCUUAUAC